rnacentral:rRNA from 1 species
UACGGAAGGCAGCAGUGGGGAAUAUUGCACAAUGGGCGCAAGCCUGAUGCAGCCAUGCCGCGUGUAUGAAGAAGGCCUUCGGGUUGUAAAGUACUUUCAGUCGUGAGGAAGGUGUUAAGGUUAAUAACCUUAGCAAUUGACGUUAGCGACAGAAGAAGCACCGGCUAACUCCGUGCCAGCAGCCGCGGUAAUACGGAGGGUGCGAGCGUUAAUCGGAAUUACUGGGCGUAAAGGGCACGCAGGCGGUUAAUUAAGUUGGAUGUGAAAUCCCCGGGCUUAACCUGGGAAUGGCAUUCAAGACUGGUUAGCUAGAGUCUUGUAGAGGGGGUAGAAUUCCAUGUGUAGCGGUGAAAUGCGUAGAGAUGUGGAGGAAUACCGGUGGCGAAGGCGGCCCCUGGACAAAGACUGACGCUCAUGUGCGAAAGCGU